AAGCACCAUGCUCUUUUCAGAUGAUAUAAAUCUUUUGUCUUUUACUCAAGAUUUCUGUGGAAAGAAUGACUUAGUGUUUCACAACUUUUUUUAAUGUUUGACUUUGUUCUGGUUAAAG